GCUCCACAAAAAUGUAUGACCGGGCUUGAGCAAAGGACUUGAGCACAAAUGCGGUGAGCCUGUCCAGCAAAGAAGACACUGAGACAUGAGGACCAUCUCACUUUCAAAGCGUGCCAAGUGCAGUCGGCUCCAGAAGAAGGUUGGUUUCCUCCAACGUAAGAAAUAGUCUCCUCUUGCUAAAAUGUUCAAGAUUUGACAAUUUGAGAGAAAAAACAGGAAAUCCGGAAAGUACUUACACUCUCCUUGCUCAAUGGACAACGCAUGGGUUCCUGAUUGCGCGAUGCUUCCUCUUGCUUUGAUCUGAAGACGGAGGGAAAGACAUUCAUUAUCAUUUUAAAAGGCUCCCUUUGUGGUUCCCUCUGGCAGCUGGAGGUGUCCUUGCAAGUUCUCAUCUAUCCAUCCCCACCAGAGCUUCAGGAGGACGGAUGGGCUUGUCUGUCUGGACAAAGCUGAGGCUUUCCGCUUU